CGGGACGGGUGAGUAAUGUCUGGGAAACUGCCCGAUGGAGGGGGGUAACUACUGGAAACGGUAGCUAAUACCGCAUAAUGUCGCAAGACCGAAGAGGGGGACCUUCGGGCCUCUUGCCAUCGGAUGUGCCCAGAUGGGAUUAGCUUGUUGGUGAGGUAACGGCUCACCAAGGCGACGAUCCCUAGCUGGUCUGAGAGGAUGACCAGCCACACUGGAACUGAGACACGGUCCAG
rnacentral:rRNA from 1 species